ensembl:lncRNA
CCUCUCUUCUCUCUCUGCCUCCCUGUCCAAUCAUGUGAGCCACUUACUCCUCCAGAUACUUCCACCAUGCUGAUUAUGCCUGGAGUAGGCUGACUGUGCAAGGACUGAAACUUCUGAAAUGAAUGAAGACUUUCUAUGGAAAUGAAUUGGAAAUCUGUUUGCAUCAAUCUUCUAAAAGGACUGAGUGAAAAAGAAUCCUGAGAGGGAAUAGAUUUUAGAAAGCAAAUACUCAGCAGAAGAUCACAUUAAAAUGGCAAUAACACCACUGGAUAAAUGAAACCUCCCCAACUCACCUCACCGUACUUCCCAAUCCACCAUCAGUAAAUGUGAUCAAUUUUACAGUCUAAGAAAAUUAAAAUUCUGUUUUACAGGGAUCCAACAACAAAAUGUAGUCUCUUGGUGGCAUCUCUUGGAUAUAGAGGCUCCCAUCUUGCUCAAAAUGUAAACCCAACUCACCACAGUCAUUUUCCACUAGAGCAAUGGGAGGGAGAUGAGGAGAGAUAAGAGGGAAGAAAGAUGGAGAGAGGGGAAACUUGUCAAUUUUUAGUUAAAAGUUCUCAUUUUCUAGCAAAAUGUAAGCUCUGUGAGUGAAUCUCUUCUGGAUUUACUUGGGUUUCCUGUUAAAAAUGGCUUCCAACUGUUACAUGAACCCCUGCCCACAGUGGAGAAUGAGGAAAAAUGAAAGCCUUUUACCUAAUCCUUUAUUUUCUCCAAAUGCUGGGAAAGGGGAAGGUUGGGGGUCAGUCAUUUUUCCCUUAGGAUAACUGAAGUGUUAACAUUUAACCAGAGAUUAGCUGUACCCAUAAAACUGACCUGGAUGUAACAACUGAAAAUGAAUUUUUUUUUUUUUUUUUGCAUUUUUCAGUAAAAAUGCCCCUUAUUCCUACACAGACUAUGAAAUCAUCCUCUUCAAACUAGACUCCAAAUCAGAACACUGUGAAAACCACUGCAUGGGCUUGGACUGUUGAACCCUGCCUCUUUUUCCACCCCCUUUCCUUUCUUACUAUGCUGAUUCGCUGUUCUUCCACUUCCUUUCCUCCCUGUCUGUGUCCUUGGCUUGCCUUCAUGAGACGCUGUCUUCUGUGAAGCCAUGAGAAAGUGCCACUUGGCCCAGUGUUAGGCAAGCUCUCUGCAGGGAGAACACCCCACAUGGCAGCUUUGCUUGGCUCAAAGAAGACUGGGUGCAAACCCUGGAGCUAUAGCUGGCCCCACCCUUACCUCAACUGUCCAGGGCGCUACAGGUAUGGUGGUGGAGAUCCAUUCAGCAUGAUGAGCUGUCUUCUAGUAUUUCCCUGUUCCUACUGCUCUUCCUCACAAGUCAGCCAGCCUCACCCUCUUUUGUGUGUGCCUGAGGAGCCUAGAAUAGGAAUCCCCUCCUCCUGAUCACUCCAGGGAUGUUGCUAAGCACUACCAUGGGAAUCUAGAAAUCUAAGCUCAACUGGGAAGAAGCAAUGAGAGGUGAACCAUCGACUAGUGAAAACGGUCCUGCUAGGAUAUGCUUGGAGAACUCCAUCCUGGGUCGUGGUGUGGGCUCACUUCAUUUCUCAGGGCCUCACCCAAGUGUCUGGAACCCACUGUUCUCCAUGAUGGCUUUGUUUGGUUUUGAAUAAUCUACAAAAGACCAGAAACAAAAGAAAGUAAACAAAGAAGAAGCAAAAAAAGGAAAAUUUGAUGUAUUACAGAUAAAUCUUACCAAAUUCCUCCCUCCUAUUUCCAUGGCCCAGAAAUAUAUUUCAAGGAAAACGUAAAAAUUUGUUGAGAAUUUUACUGAUAAAGUUGUUCAGGGUGGCAUUGUUUAUAAAAUUAAAAACUAGAAAAACCCUAAAUGUCUAAUGAUAAGAAUAUUUAUGAUAACAACAUAGUCAUUUAAUUGAUGUUGUAGAAAAAUGAUUUCGACUUGGAAAUUCAAGAUUUGUUACUGAGUGAAGAAGUCAUUUAUCAAACAAUAUACACAAUAUGAGCCCUUUUCUGUGAAAAAUACAUAUAUGGCAGCAGGAAAAACAUCAAAUGUUAACCAUGGUUUUAUCUUUGGAGAGAAGAUUACGGUUUCAUUUUUUUCUUCUUUUAUGUCUCUGCAUUCAUUAAUUUCUGCAAUUCACGCAGCACUUUUGAGAAGAGAAAAAUGAUUAGAAUUUUAAAAUCAUUAUGUUGGAUUCCCUAAUAACAAUUCCUUCUUGUAAAGCACUUUUCUGAAAUUUGGAGAUUGAGACCUCCCCUACAAAUACUUUGUGACAAGCAUGAAAGUUAGUGCUGCUGAGAGAAGAGCCUUAGGCCAACUUCUUUGCAAAUUAUUAGUGAAAUACUUUAUUAGGGAGUCCAAUAAUUUAUAUUAUUAUUGUAUCAAGCGAUGUUUAAUGAGUGUCGACUAUUUUCUCUGCCUGGUGAACAGUGCUAAACAGCAUUCAUCUUUGAUUCCUUCUUUGAUUGCAAGAGUGGUUAACUGUCAAUUGCUUUACAAGCAAUUUAAACAAGCCAGCGGAAUGCUUUCAUUUUUUAAAGAUGUAUUUGAUAAUGUAUCACUAGUAAAAAUUGAAAGUGGUUAAUGCCAAGAUCUACUCUUGGAUUUUUUUUUAAUUCACAUAGCCUUUUCUCAUUCUGCAGGGUUACAAAGUCUCAUGUUUCAGUAUUUUCAUAUUUAACAGCUCAAUGUAAAUAGUACCAGUUAAUAUCCAACAGAGGGGCUGGGGUGUAGCUCAGCGAUAGAGUGCUUGCCUGCCAUACAGGAAGCCCUGGGUUAGAUUCUUAGUUUAAAAAGAGAAAAAGAAAGAAAAUGUAUAAACUACUUGGGAAUAACAGUACCUGUAAUUACCUGUAUAGAAGUGGAGGGGGAAACAAUGCUUAAGACAAAGUUGUAAGAUAUUAAUCAGGGUGACUUGUUCAAAUGUCACCAAUUUUCUAUAGUUUAGAAAAGGAGGGCCAGGGAUUUAGCUCAGUGGUUCCACAGCCUGCCUCUCAAGCAGAAGGUCCCAAGUUCAAUCCCUGGUACCAAAAAGAAAAGAAAGAAAAGAAAAGGCUUCAAGAGAUCUUAGCUUCUCUAGGCCUCUGAUCUCAUCCACAUAAACCUUCUACCAUCUUUCUGUGUGUCUUAAUUCCUGAGAGCUGCCCAUGGGAAGUUGAGGGUAAAGCAUUCCUAAAUAACUAUUAAAACUAAAAGUCAACACUGUGCCCUCGCUUUCCUACAUGGGAUGGGAUCGCGUGCCAUUUCUAGCAGCUGUGGUCAAUUCUGAAUACAGUUUUCCCAUUGAACCUGUGAGGAAAAAUAAGCUGCACUGGGUUUGCUGCUCUUUGAAUGCCAUGGCUUUCCUUUCCUAAGUGGGAAAGAAAGUUCAUUAAGAAGGAAGCCAUAUGAAGCUUAACUUUCCAGCAAAUCCAUCACCCCUUAAGUACUCUCCAUGCUCCAUAGCUCCCAGGAAAACACCUUAGAUUCCUAAGUAUCAGAAAUAUUACAACUUCCUAUCCUUCCUCAAGUCAGUGUUCAGUUUGUCUUUACUAUAAUAUUUUGUUCUUUGGGUCUAAGAAUACGUAGGGGCCAGCCCCAUCAGGUCAAGUAGAGAGUGCUUUGGGGACUGGGAAAUGUCACCUCAUUGCAAAAUUAACCCAUCCAUACCAAAAAUGAUUUCUCAAGAAACAAAAAGCCAAAACAGAAUAAAACAAAAUGAUGCUUUUAAAUUCCAAAUCCACAUUUACUGUCACAAAAUAAAUGUGUUAAAUGCAUUAAUUUGAUUCUUUCAGGCUAUGAUAGUCUAGAUGAAGACAAAAAAAAUUAGUAUCAUACUUUUGAGUCUUGUCAAUUUGAAAACACAUGGAACUUUUAAAAUAGAAUGUUCUUGACAACAGGCACAAAGCAGCAUUUCUGUUUUUAUUGAGAUCCAUUGGAUGGUGAAAUCUGGAAUGUUCCUUAUUCAUGUAUUUAAUAUCUAUGUUUAUCACCAACCUGGGGUGAAGGAGGAAUUAUCAGGCAAAUUCUCAGUCAAGAUGGGGCCUUAGUGGAUUUUUUUUUUUGGUACUGGAAUCGAACUCAGGACCUUGCACUUGUGAGGCAGGCGGUGGAACCACUGAGCUAAAUCCCCAGCCCUCAGUGGAUUUUUUAAAGAGAGAAAUGCUGAGGCUUGGGGAUUCCUAGGGACCGGUUUCAUUUUUGUGUAGGUGGCCAGCUGAGGGAAGAGACUGGGCAGACAUAUGCAAAAGGAACAAUUCCCAUGCCGGUAUUUUAGAAGUAUGAGAACACAACAACACAUUUUGCCCAUGUGUUUGCCCUGAAGCACAGGGAAGGGAAGGUUCCUGGUCAAAUAAACCUAAUCCAGUUAGUCAUUCUGGUAGAAUCCUGAUUCCAGGGCUUGGUGUUAUUAAUAAAUGAGGCCACUGUAAAACAGGAAGCAGUUUACUGCACAGACAUUUCAAGGAGAGAAAUAAAAGUCCACAGUGUCUCUGGAUCCUCAACUUCAUCAUAGCCUCACUCUUUCCCUCCAUAAGGGUGAGAGGAACCUUCAAGAAAGUCUCCAGUCUUCCUUAGGCUUUCUGAAGAAAGUGAAUAAUCACAGCAGACAAGUGCAAAUACGAUGUGUUGCUCAAAGACCAAGUUGGCAGCUCACCCUUAUUCUAAACAGCCAGUAGCCACCCUGGAGAACAGCCUGCUUCAUUCAGGGGAGCUGAAGGCCCCAUGGGAGACGGGCACUUACCUCAGUCAGCACUGGUCUUCUCUCAGUCCCAGACCCCUCCUCUGGCUGGCAGGAAGGUGUGUAGGGGCGAGAGUCCUGCGUUUCUGUCGCUUU